AGAGUUUGAUCCUGGCUCAGAAUCAACGCUGGCGGCGUGCCUCAGACAUGCAAGUCGAACGCGAAAGUCCCCUUCGGGGGACAAGUAGAGUGGCGCACGGGUGAGUAACACGUAGGUAAUCUACCUUUGGAUGGGGAAUAACAACCGGAAACGGUUGCUAAUACCGCAUAAUGCAGCGGCACCUAAUGGUGACAGUUGUUAAAGCGGGGGAUCGAAAGACCUCGCGUCUGAAGAGGAGCCUGCGGCGGAUUAGCUAGUUGGUAAGGUAAUGGCUUACCAAGGCUACGAUCCGUAACCGGCCUGAGAGGGCGGUCGGUCACACUGACACUGACAUACGGGUCAGACUCCUACGGGAGGCAGCAGUCGGGAAUUUUGGGCAAUGGGCGAAAGCCUGACCCAGCAACGCCGCGUGAAGGAUGAAAUCCCUCGGGAUGUAAACUUCGCAAGAACGGGAAGAAUAAGUAGGGGACAAUACCCCCUAUGAUGACGGUACCGUUUGUAAGCUCCGGCUAACUCCGUGCCAGCAGCCGCGGUAAUACGGGGGGAGCAAGCGUUGUUCGGAUUUACUGGGCGUAAAGGGCGCGUAGGCGGCCAGCACAAGUCAGUUGUGAAAUCUCCGAGCUUAACUCGGAAAGGUCAACUGAUACUGUGCGGCUAGAGUGCGGAAGGGGCAACUGGAAUUCUUGGUGUAGCGGUGAAAUGCGUAGAUAUCAAGAGGAACACCUGCGGCGAAGGCGGGUUGCUGGGCCGACACUGACGCUGAUGCGCGAAAGCCAGGGGAGCGAACGGGAUUAGAUACCCCGGUAGUCCUGGCCUUAAACGAUGAAUGCUUGGUGUCUGGGGUUAUAAAGUCCCCGGGUGCCGUCGCUAACGCUUUAAGCAUUCCGCCUGGGGAGUACGGUCGCAAGACUGAAACUCAAAGGAAUUGACGG
rnacentral:rRNA from 1 species